rnacentral:lncRNA from 1 species
GGGGAAGGGUGACAUCCGCUAUUGCUUGCAAUGGCAAAUCUAGUUAUUAUUAUUUUUCUUCCACCUAGUUUUGUCCGGCAGUUUUCUCAGAGCCAAAGGAACCAAUCUGAAUGAUGGUGCACUAUAACAAGGAACCCUGACUUUCCAGUUGCAGUGCAACUUUGGAACUAAAAAAUGGCUGCCAUCACCAUGGAAACCGAAAAAUAAUGGAAAAUUCCAGUUUUUGGUUUUGAUGAAUUAUUUGGAAAUGCUUUAACUUAGAAUCAUUAUAUUUUGAUACAAUGUAGGUGCCGGGCAUAUACUGGUUUUGGAUGAUUUUGGCAAUCAUUGGAACUGCUAUGUUGCCAUGGAUACUACACCAAAAAUUUCAAAAAUAUGGAAAUGCUCCAAAUUUUAUAAAACUUCACAGUAAUGAUGAGCAACAUUGGUAGAUGUGGAAUUUGGUGUUGCAAUUUCGAAAAUGUCUGCCGUUACCAUGGAAACAAUGCAAAACAGGUCAAAAUGGUCCAAAAACCUUCAAGUGGCAUUUACUUUCUUA